rnacentral:rRNA from 1 species
AGUUGUUGUGGUUAAAAAGCUCGUAGUUGGAUCUCGGCGGACUGAGGGCGGUUUGCUUGCUAGUAUUACUGCCCUAUAGUCCGUAGUUUUGCCAGAGGUUUCGGGGUGCUCUUAAUCGAGUGUCCCGGGAUGCUGGCAGGUUUACUUUGAAGAAAUUAGAGUGCUCAAAGCAGGCUAUUACGCCUGAAUAUUCGUGCAUGGAAUAAUAGAAUAGGAAGUCGUUUCUAUUUUGUUGGUUUUCGGAAAUCGACUUAAUGAUUAAUAGGGACAGUCGGGGGCAUUUGUAUUCAAACGACAGAGGUGAAAUUCUUGGACCGUUUGAAGACAAACUACUGCGAAAGCAUUUGCCAAGAAUGUUUUCAUUAAUCAAGAACGAAAGUUAAAGGUUCGA